GAUGAAGAACGUAGCGAAAUGCGAUACUUGGUGUGAAUUGCAGAAUCCCGUGAACCAUCGAGUCUUUGAACGCAAGUUGCGCCCGAAGCCAUUAGGCCGAGGGCACGCCUGCCUGGGCGUCACACGUCGUUGCCCCCCCAUCUACUCCUUCGGGAUUGCGGGGGGCGGAUGAUGGCCUCCCGUGCGCCUCGUCGCGCGGUUGGCCUAAAUGCCAAGUCCUCGGCGACGCACGCCACGACAAUCGGUGGUUGCGAAACCUCGGUUGCCCGUCGUGUGCGGUCGUCGCGCAUCGAGGGCUCGAGAAAAUUGCCGGGCUUCGGCUCGACUUUCAACGCGACCCCAGGUCAGGCGGGGUUACCCGCUGAAUUUAAGCAUAUCAAUAAGCGGAGGA
rnacentral:misc_RNA from 1 species